ACGGGCCUACGGGAGGCAGCAGUGAGGAAUAUUGGUCAAUGGGCGGGAGCCUGAACCAGCCAGGUCGCGUGAGGGAAGACGGUCCUAUGGAUUGUAAACCUCUUUAGGCGGGGAGCAAUGCCGGGCACACGAGCCCGGAGGGAGAGUACCCGCAGAAUAAGCAUCGGCUAACUCCGUGCCAGCAGCCGCAGUAAUACGGAGGAUGCGAGCGUUAUCCGGAUUUAUUGGGUUU
rnacentral:rRNA from 1 species